rnacentral:rRNA from 1 species
GACGAACGCUGGCGGCGUGCCUAAUACAUGCAAGUCGAACGAGAGCGACCGGUGCUUGCUCUGGUCAAUCUAGUGGCGAACGGGUGAGUAACACGUGGGUAACCUGCCCAUCAGAGGGGGAUAACAUUCGGAAACGGAUGCUAAAACCGCAUAGGUCUUCGAACCGCAUGGUUUGAAGAGGAAAAGAGGCGCAAGCUUCUGCUGAUGGAUGGACCCGCGGUGCAUUAGCUAGUUGGUGAGGUAACGGCUCACCAAGGCCGGGAUGCAUAGCCGACCUGAGAGGGUGAUCGGCCACAUUGGGACUGAGACACGGCCCAAACUCCUACGGGAGGCAGCAGUAGGGAAUCUUCCGCAAUGGACGCAAGUCUGACGGAGCAACGCCGCGUGAGUGAAGAAGGUUUUCGGAUCGUAAAACUCUGUUGUUAGAGAAGAAUAAGUGCUAGAGUAACUGUUAGCGCCUUGACGGUAUCUAACCAGAAAGCCACGGCUAACUACGUG